rnacentral:tRNA from 1 species
ACCUGGGUGGCUCAGUCGGUUAAGAGUCCGACUCUUGAUUUCAGCUCAGAUCAUGAUCUCACAGUUCAUGGGUUCGAGCCCCAUCUCAGGCU